rnacentral:rRNA from 1 species
CCUACGGGCGGCAGCAGUGAGGAAUAUUGGUCAAUGGACGAGAGUCUGAACCAGCCAAGUAGCGUGAAGGAUGACUGCCCUAUGGGUUGUAAACUUCUUUUAUAAAGGAAUAAAACGAGGCACGUGUGCCUUUUUGCAUGUACUUUAUGAAUAAGGAUCGGCUAACUCCGUGCCAGCAGCCGCGGUAAUACGGAGGAUCCGAGCGUUAUCCGGAUUUAUUGGGUUUAAGGGGAGCGUAGAUGGGUUGUUAAGUCAGUUGUGAAAGUUUGCGGCUCAACCGUAAAAUUGCAAUUGAUACUGGCAGUCGUGAGUACAGUUGAGGUAGGCGGAAUUCGUGGUGUAGCGGUGAAAUGCUUAGAUAUCACGAAGAACCCCGAUUGCGAAGGCAGCUUACUAAACUGUGACUGACAUUGAUGCUCGAAAGUGUGGGUAUCAAACAGGAUUAGAUACCCGGGUAGUC